GAUGAAGAACGCAGCGAAAUGCGAAAAGUAAUGUGAAUUGCAGAAUUCAGUGAACCAUCGAAUCUUUGAACGCACAUUGCGCCCGCUGGAACUCCGGCGGGCACGCCUGUCCGAGCGUCAUUUCAACCCUCAGGCCCCCCUUCGCGGGCGGGCCUGGUGUUGGGGCCCGGCCGCUACCCUGCGGCCGUCCCCUAAAUCCAGUGGCGGCCUCGCCGUGAUCCCUUGCGUAGUAAUGCACCUCGCACAGGAGAGCGCCGUGGCCACGCCGUAAAACCCCCAAUUUUCAAUGGUUGACCUCGGAUCAGGUGGGAAUACCCGCUGAACUUAAGCAUAUCAAUAAGCGGAGGA
rnacentral:misc_RNA from 1 species